rnacentral:rRNA from 1 species
AUUUCCGGUUGAUCCUGGCGGACCCGACUGCUAUCGGAUUGAGAUUUAGCCAUGCGAGUCGAACGUCCCCCUGUUGCGGGGGGCGUGGCGUACGGCUCAGUAACACGUAGUCAACCUGCCCUGGAGACAAGGACAACCCCGGGAAACUGGGAUUAAUCCUUGAUAGGUCAUCUCAUCUGGAAGGAGAGAUGGCUUAAAGGGGUACGCGGGCUUCUUCUGCGUAUUCGCUCCAGGAUGGGACUGCGUCCGAUCAGGCUGUUGGCGGGGUAAUGGCCCACCAAACCUGUAACCGGUACGGGCCUUGAGAGAGGUGGCCCGGAGAUGGACACUGAGAGAAGGGUCCAGGUCCUACGGGGCGCAGCAGGCGCGAAACCUUCGCAAUGCGCGAAAGCGUGACGAGGUUAAUCCGAGUGACUUCCGCUGAGGAGGUCUUUUGUCAGCUGUAAAUAGGCAGGCGAAUAAGGGGAGGGCAAGCCUGGUGUCAGCCGCCGCGGUAAUACCAGCUCCUCGAGUGGUCGGGGCGAUUAUUGGGCCUAAAGCAUCCGUAGCCGGUUCCGUAGGUCCUCUGUUAAAUCCAACAGCUUAACUGUUGACCUGCAGAGGAUACCGCGGGACUAGGAGGCGGGAGAGGCGGACGGUACUCCGCGUGUAGGGGUAAAAUCCUUUGAUCCGCGGAAGACCACCAGUGGCGAAGGCGGUCCGCCAGAACGCGCUCGACGGUGA